GACCUAGUAGCGGACGGUCCACACCUGCCUUUAGUGGACAAAAUGUGACACAUUGAGCAGGAAUGCUCCUGGUUCGACUCCAGGCUAGGUCA